UACGUAGGGUGCGAGCGUUAAUCGGAAUUACUGGGCGUAAAGAGUGCGUAGGCGGUUCUUGAAGUCCGCUGUGAAAGCCCCGGGCUUAACCUGGGAAUGGCAGUGGAAACUGGGGGACUUGAAUUGAGCAGAGGGGGGUGGAAUGCCGCGUGUAGCAGUGAAAUGCGUAGAGAUGCGGCGGAACACCGAUGGCGAAGGCAGCCCCCUGGGAUAACACUGACGCUCAUGCACGAAAGCGUGGGGAGCAAACAGG
rnacentral:rRNA from 1 species